rnacentral:rRNA from 1 species
UUGGUAGGGUAAAGGCGUACCACGGGGACGAUGGGUAGCCGACCUGAGAGGGUGAUCUGCCACACUGGGAGUGAGACACGGCCCAGAAUCUUACGGGAGGCAGCAGUGGGGAAUAUUGCACACAGGAGGGAACUCCGAUGCAGCAACGCCGCGUGAGUGAAGAAGGUUUUUGGAUUGUAAAAAUCUGUCAUUGCGGAAGAAUAAAUGACGGUACCCAAUGAGGAAGCCCCGGCUAACUACGUGCCAGCAGCCGCGGUAAUACGUAGGGGGCGAGCGUUGUCCGGAAUUACUGGGCGUAAAGGGUACGUAGGCGGCUAUAUAAGUCAGGUGUGAAAUACCAGUGCUUAACCCUGGAAUUGCAUUUGAAACUGUGUAGCUUGAGUGCAGGAGAGGAAAGUGGAAUUCCUAGUGUAGCGGUGAAAUGCGUAGAGAUUAGGAGGAACACCAGUGGCGAAGGCGACUUUCUGGACUGUAACUGACGCUGAGGUACGAAAGCGUGGGUAGCGAACAGGAUUAGAUACCCUGGUAGUCCACGCCGUAAACGAUGGAUACUAGGUGUACGGGGGUAUCAUGACCCCCCGGU